UUUCUUAACAAACCAAAGCCGUUAACUAUCCAACAUAAGUUUAUGUGUUGGUUUAAUUCUUCUAGUAAUUUUAUUUGUAUAAUUACUUUGAAUAUGACUUUUAGAAGAUUAUGAUUAUUAUACUGUUUCCUUAACAAACCAAAGCCGUUACCAACAUGAGUUUAAGUGUUGAUUUGACUCUUCUACUAAUUUUAUUUGCAUAAUUACUUUGAAUAUGACUUUUAGAAUGCUACGAAUUUCAUUAUGAUCAUAUGUAGACUUAUUUUUAAGAGCACUCUUGUUUCUUUUCAAGAAUAUGAAAUAGUCAUAUGAAUCCUUUAAAUUCUAAGUUUAUUUAUCAAUCUAUGCAUGUAUGUUUAAUCGUAAAACAAACAUGUUUAAGGCAUUUUUGAGUUAAUUAACUAAUUUAACAUAUGUGAAUUUAUUUGUCAUUCCUAAAUACGAUUUUCACCAAUAGUUUGAAUCAAACUUAUUGUUAACAAGUGUUAUCAUCAAAAUUAAAUAUGUCAUUAUUUCAACAAAUGGUUCAUUAACUAAUUCUUUGUAUGUUGAAAUAAUCAUCAACCUAAUCUUAAAAGGGGUUUACGAAUGAAUCAAAAUUUCAUACAACAACAAACCAAAUUUGAGCUUAGCUCAAGAGAUUGUACAUAAAUUGGCAAAAACAUAAAGAAUUACUGAAAUGAUGUGGUAAUUCACAAUUUUUAAGAAUGUGGUGUUACGUAACUAGAAUUAAACUAUUAAAUAUAGUCAAGGAACUUGAUUGUAUGCGCCUGAUUGACUUUUAAUAUGAUCCACAAUUAACCGAGGUUAAAUCUACACUAUAUUUUAUCCUCUCUCCUUUUCAAAAUGACUUUCUAAUAUUUCUUUUCUUUGCUCAUUAAAAUGGCACAUAGACCUAUUAAAAUACGACACGCAAUGGUGAAUAUUUUAUUUUGGAAGAAGGGGCUCAAAAUCACAUUGUUAGUUCUUCAUUAAAAUCGUGGAAAAAAGUUUUAUUUGCACAGUAUAACCCAGCUACUCCUGGUGACUCUACACAAAAUCUUCCCAGCUAGCUCAAAAAUUAUCAUGCCCUUGGCACUAUCAAUUUAAUAUAAUUUGAACUACUUCAUUUUCAAUUAGGAAAGUUUCUUAAUUAGUUGUCUAUAAUAGGUCAUGUUGACUAUAUUGAUUUUCUCAUUAUUCUACUUUAUUUAGUUUUUCUUGUUUAGAAUAUAGGCUGUAAUAUAUAUUAAGAGGACAAUGAUUAAUAAAAUUAAGCCUUUACAUAUUUCUUUUUGGUAUCAGAACCAACUAAACCCUAGCCUCCAACACUGCCUUCACAAUAGCCUAAACCCUAACCCACUAGCCACCAGCCAUAGGCCAACAACAGUCCUGCCUCUAUGCAUUCCCUGUGCAACCCAGUCCAACCAACAAUCACCAGACUCAACACUUGUAACAUCCUCUUCCCUUGUGCAGCCACCACUGCAGUCACCAGCAGCCCAACCCAACCCUCACACACAGAGCCCUUGCACAACAAGUCAUCUCGUGCAUAACCAUGCUUUGUACAGUCCAUCCUUGCGCCGUCUAGCACCGUUCAGGCCUUGCACAGGCAAGCUCUUGCACAGUCGCGCAGUCUAGCUUCGUUCAAGCCUCACACAGGCCAACGCAUACACCAUCAAGCAGUCCUGUAGGCCAGCCCAUGUGCCAUCCAGUAGCAUCAUAGUCCAGCAUAGCCGCAUAUUCCAGCAACCCCUACAUCGUCUAGUAGUCCUAUAGGCCAUCCCCUGCACUGUCUAGUACAUUUAGCAGCCGCGCAAUCUAGCACAGCCACACAGUCUAGCAACCAGUAGCCCCAUAAUCCAACAACCAGUAGUCAGUAGUCUAGCGCAGCCAUCAGUUGCACAGUGCAAUUCAGCCUCCAGUCAUUGCGUAGUCUAGUGUAGCCAGCAGUAGCUGCUCGUGCAGUCCAUAUAUCGUGAAGUCUAUAUGUCUGAUAGUAUGACACUUUAAAAAAAAUAUAUUCUCCUUUGAUUUCCUAAGAUUGAUUCUUGGUGUUACGUUGAUAGUUAACCCAGUCAAGGAGGUUGCCCCAGCCCAUAUGGUUUUGUGCCCAACUCCUAUCUACCUAUCUUUUAGUCCCACGGACGCUAUAGUUGCAGGUACUCUUAUCGCUUUUCAUGAUAAGUCAAGUCACCCCACUUGAAUUCUGAAUUUUGGAGCUAAUAAUAACAUGACUGGUGAGCUUUCUACUUUUACCUCUUCUAUUAGUUUCAUAAAUCAAUCUGUUUGUAUUGCUGAUGGACCAUCUAUUCCCAUUUAUAGUCAGGGUGAUGCCCACUUUUCCACAGAUAUUACUCUUUCCUCAAUUUAUUAUGCUCUGAAUUUUGCCUAUAAUUUUCUUUCUGUUAGUUGUCUUGCAAAAAACCUUAAUUGUGCCGUUGUAGUCUUACCAUCUCGUUGUUUCUUGCAGGACUUGAUUUCGAAGAAGAUUCUUGGCAGGGGAUAUGAGAGUGAUGAACUG
rnacentral:lncRNA from 1 species